GACGAACGCUGGCGGCGCGCCUAACACAUGCAAGUCGAACGAGCGAGAGAGAGCUUGCUUUCUUGAGCGAGUGGCGAACGGGUGAGUAACGCGUGAGGAACCUGCCUCAAAGAGGGGGACAACAGUUGGAAACGACUGCUAAUACCGCAUAAGCCCACGACCCGGCAUCGGGUUGAGGGAAAAGGAGCAAUCCGCUUUGAGAUGGCCUCGCGUCCGAUUAGCUAGUUGGUGAGGUAACGGCCCACCAAGGCGACGAUCGGUAGCCGGACUGAGAGGUUGAACGGCCACAUUGGGACUGAGACACGGCCCAGACUCCUACGGGAGGCAGCAGUGGGGAAUAUUGCACAAUGGGGGAAACCAUGAUGCAGCGACGCCGCGUGGAGGAAGAAGGUCUUCGGAUUGUAAACUCCUGUUGUUGAGGAAGAUAAUGACGGUACUCAACAAGGAAGUGACGGCUAACUACGUG
rnacentral:rRNA from 1 species